UACAGAGGGUGCAAGCGUUAAUCGGAAUUACUGGGCGUAAAGCGUGCGUAGACGGUUACAUAAGUCGGGUGUGAAAGCCCCGGGCUCAACCUGGGAAUUGCAUUCGAGACUGCGUAGCUAGGGUGCGGAAGAGGGAAGCGGAAUUUCCGGUGUAGCGGUGAAAUGCGUAGAUAUCGUAAGGAAGACCAGUGGCGAAGGCGGGUCUCUGGAAAGUUCCUGACACUGAGGCACGAAGGCCAGGGGAGCAAACGGG
rnacentral:rRNA from 1 species